rnacentral:rRNA from 1 species
CGUACACUCCUACGGGAGGCAGCAGUGGGGAAUAUUGGACAAUGGGCGCAAGCCUGAUCCAGCCAUGCCGCGUGAGUGAUGAAGGCCCUAGGGUUGUAAAGCUCUUUCACCGGUGAAGAUAAUGACGGUAACCGGAGAAGAAGCCCCGGCUAACUUCGUGCCAGCAGCCGCGGUAAUACGAAGGGGGCUAGCGUUGUUCGGAUUUACUGGGCGUAAAGCGCACGUAGGCGGACUAUUAAGUCAGGGGUGAAAUCCCGGGGCUCAACCCCGGAACUGCCUUUGAUACUGGUAGUCUUGAGUUCGAGAGAGGUGAGUGGAAUUCCGAGUGUAGAGGUGAAAUUCGUAGAUAUUCGGAGGAACACCAGUGGCGAAGGCGGCUCACUGGCUCGAUACUGACGCUGAGGUGCGAAAGCGUGGGGAGCAAACAGGAUUAGAAACCCGAGUAGUCCCAUG